rnacentral:rRNA from 1 species
CGCACGGGUGAGUAACACGUAUCCAACCUGCCGUCUACUCUUGGACAGCCUUCUGAAAGGAAGAUUAAUACAAGAUGGCAUCAUGAGUCCACAUGUUCACAUGAUUAAAGGUAUUCCGGUAGACGAUGGGGAUGCGUUCCAUUAGAUAGUAGGCGGGGUAACGGCCCACCUAGUCUUCGAUGGAUAGGGGUUCUGAAAGGAAGGUCCCCCACAUUGGAACUGAGACACGGUCCAA